GUAACCUGCUCAUGAUAUUCAAUAGCCGCAAUAUUUUUGUGCUAAGGUAGCAUAAUCAUUUGUUUUUUAAUUUAAAACUAGAAUGAAAGGUUUAACAUUUUAAUUUCUAUAUUUUUAAUACAUUUUAAAUUUUUAUUAAAUAUAAAAAUAUAUUUAUUUAAAAAUUAGACGACAAGACCCUAUUGAACUUUACUUAUGUUUAGCUGGGGCAGCUUAUAAAACAAAAUUUUUAUUAAAAUUAAUUAAUUUAUCCAAUAAAAUUGAAAUUUAAUCAAGUUACCAUAGGGAUAACAGCGUAAUUUUUAUAUAAAGUUCUUAUUUAAAUAAAAGUUUGCGACCUCGAUGUUGAAUUAAAUUUUCUUUAUUUCGCAAUAGAAAUAUUAGUAGGUCUGUUCGACCAUUUAAAAUUUACAUGAUCUGAGUCAAAACCGGAGA
rnacentral:rRNA from 1 species